rnacentral:rRNA from 2 species
GCGGCGUGCCUAUACAUGCAAGUCGAGCGGACAGAAGGGAGCUUGCUCCCGGAUGUUAGCGGCGGACGGGUGAGUAACACGUGGGUAACCUGCCUGUAAGACUGGGAUAACUCCGGGAAACCGGAGCUAAUACCGGAUAGUUCCUUGAACCGCAUGGUUCAAGGAUGAAAGACGGUUUCGGCUGUCACUUACAGAUGGACCCGCGGCGCAUUAGCUAGUUGGUGGGGUAAUGGCUCACCAAGGCGACGAUGCGUAGCCGACCUGAGAGGGUGAUCGGCCACACUGGGACUGAGACACGGCCCAGACUCCUACGGGAGGCAGCAGUAGGGAAUCUUCCGCAAUGGACGAAAGUCUGACGGAGCAACGCCGCGUGAGUGAUGAAGGUUUUCGGAUCGUAAAGCUCUGUUGUUAGGGAAGAACAAGUGCGAGAGUAACUGCUCGCACCUUGACGGUACCUAACCAGAAAGCCACGGCUAACUACGUGCCAGCAGCCGCGGUAAUACGUAGGUGGCAAGCGUUGUCCGGAAUUAUUGGGCGUAAAGGGCUCGCAGGCGGUUUCUUAAGUCUGAUGUGAAAGCCCCCGGCUCAACCGGGGAGGGUCAUUGGAAACUGGGAAACUUGAGUGCAGAAGAGGAGAGUGGAAUUCCACGUGUAGCGGUGAAAUGCGUAGAGAUGUGGAGGAACACCAGUGGCGAAGGCGACUCUCUGGUCUGUAACUGACGCUGAGGAGCGAAAGCGUGGGGAGCGAACAGGAUUAGAUACCCUGGUAGUCCACGCCGUAAACGAUGAGUGCUAAGUGUUAGGGGGUUUCCGCCCCUUAGUGCUGCAGCUAACGCAUUAAGCACUCCGCCUGGGGAGUACGGUCGCAAGACUGAAACUCAAAGGAAUUGACGGGGGCCCGCACAAGCGGUGGAGCAUGUGGUUUAAUUCGAAGCAACGCGAAGAACCUUACCAGGUCUUGACAUCCUCUGACAACCCUAGAGAUAGGGCUUUCCCUUCGGGGACAGAGUGACAGGUGGUGCAUG